GAUGAACGCUGGCGGCGUGCCUAAUACAUGCAAGUCGAGCGAACAGAUGAGGAGCUUGCUCCUCUGACGUUAGCGGCGGACGGGUGAGUAACACGUGGAUAACCUACCUAUAAGACUGGGAUAACUUCGGGAAACCGGAGCUAAUACCGGAUAAUAUAUUGAACCGCAUGGUUCAAUAGUGAAAGACGGUUUUGCUGUCACUUAUAGAUGGAUCCGCGCCGCAUUAGCUAGUUGGUAAGGUAACGGCUUACCAAGGCAACGAUGCGUAGCCGACCUGAGAGGGUGAUCGGCCACACUGGAACUAAGACACGGUCCAGACUCCUACGGGAGGCAGCAGUAGGGAAUCUUCCGCAAUGGGCGAAAGCCUGAUGGAGCAACGCCGCGUGAGUGAUGAAGGUCUUCGGAUCGUAAAACUCUGUUAUUAGGGAAGAACAAAUGUGUAAGUAACUAUGCACGUCUUGACGGUACCUAAUCAGAAAGCCACGGCUAACUACGU
rnacentral:rRNA from 1 species